AAGCGCUCUCCGAGCCACUUCCACUGGGAUGUCACGUCACUGUCUGGGCCCCUUGCUCAGCCUGUGAACAGCAUUCCAAGGAGAGAAUUCAGCAGUGCAGCAUCCUCUCCAAGCUCUAUGAGUUGAUCGGCUUCCACUGCAAGUCCGCCUUCUUCAAGCAGGUGGCCCCCAUGCAGCGUGUGGCCCCUGGCAUCUCGGAGCCUGGUGGGAAGGCCUGCUACUGACUCCUUCUGCAGACACUUCCUGGCUACACUCUGUCACUGGAUCUGCAGGACUUCAGCAAAGGUUUUGGAACUAAAACAUUGCUUCAGUCCCAUUAACCAUGCCUUGUUUGGGCCCUGCUGUCCUGUCUCAUCAGGGUGAAUUUUGAUUCAUUUAGAACAGGGCUCAGCAGACUUUUCUGUCAAGGGCUUGGGAGUAAAUAUUUCAGGGUCUGCAAACCUCCUGAUCUCUGGUGCAGCUGCUCAGCUCUGCUGUUCAGACGCCAGAGCAGCCGGACAGUCCA